ACAAAGGGGAUCUAGGUGAAUUCAGGCCACGGUUGUCGAAGGUCUUUGUGUUUUAAGCACUUAAUCGAUGGGCUACAUUCGUGCAGUGAAGAAUUGCGGACAUAACAGUGCAAGAGAUAAAGGAAGACUUAAAUUUUACCGGUUUCCAUUGAUAACAUUGAACAAGGGAGAAGAAAUUCGCAAAUUGAGUGAAGCCCGAAGAAGACAGUGUUUCGCGAGUAUUUACAGAAAGGAGUUUGACGACAACUGAGAAAGCUGAAAACUCUCGCGUUUGUAGCAAUCGUUUUAUUUCUGCACACACAAGCAAUUUUACUUCGGGUUAUGUCCCAUUGAGGAUGGCAGUUCAGGGUCAUGUCCCAUUGAUGAUGGCACUUCAGGUUCAUGUCCAAUUGAUGAUGCCAUUAACCUUGCUGACAACAGUGAUUGUAAUGAUAAUGAUAAUGAUAAACAUGACCAAUUUUGCCAGACUGAAGGAAAGGUUUUGUCAGAGGGAUGCUACCAGACUGACCUUGAUAUGGCUCAACUGGACAGACAGCAGAUCUACUUGCAACACAUCACUGAUGAGCUAAGCAGUACAAAGGUACAACUACUGUCUCUUCAGUUAACUAUGGAAAGCUUUACAAAUAGUGACGAAAAAACCAAGUUUUAUACAGGAGUCCCCACAUUUUCCCUUUUAAUGCAUGUUUUUAAUAUUAUUGCUCCUCGCAUAAAAAUAACCACCCAAAAUGCACUUGGCCAGUUUCAAGAGUUUCUUUUAGUUUUAAUUAGACUUAAACUCAAUUCUCCAUUGCAGGAUUUAGCUUUUCGUUCCAAUAUAUCUGUGCCAACCACAUCAAGAAUUUUUGACAAAUGGACACAUGUAGUGUCCAUCAGACUAAAGUUUUUAAUCCAGUGGCCAAAGCAUGAGGAACUGCAAGCCACCAUGCCUGCAGUUUUCCAACAAUUUUUGCAAGAGAGUUGCAGUCAUCAUUGACUGCUUUGAGAUCUUUAUGGAAAGACCAUCUAGCCUAAUUGUUGUGACCAUCCGGGAACUGCCUGGCGGUGGCUUUGUCCCGUGUGGCUUUUCGGGUAGAAAUAGGUUCUUGAGGAAAAACGUUUUCCAAUCGAUGUUUAAGGAUUCUACAGUCAAUAACUUUCUUGGUUUGGUUAAUAUUGGAUUUAACACUAAUGCUAGGGCAAUGACCUGGUCUAAUUAUAAACAUCACAAUACUAUAAAGUUUCUUAUUGGUGUAACACCACAAGGUGUUAUCUCAUUCAUUUCAAAGGCAUGGGGUGGGAGAGUGAGUGACAAAUAUCUCACAGAAAAGUCUGGUUUGUUGAGAAAGCUCUUACCUGGGGACAUAGUGCUUGCUGACAGGGGCUUUGAUAUUGCUGACUCUGUUGGUCUUUAUCAAGCUCACUUUCAUAUACCAGCAUUUACUAGAGGUAAGAAACAGUUGUCUGCAGAGGAAGUGGAGCAAACCAGAAAAAUUGCUGAGUCCGAAUCCAUGUGGAAAGGGUGAUUGGUCUUGUCUGCAGAAAGUGUUGCAAGAAAUACUCCCUAUUCAGCUGGUGACAGCUCGGCAAGGUGAUGACUUGGCUCCAAUAGACAAAAUGGCAGUAACUUGCUGUGCCCUUACUAAUAUAUCAGAGUGUCUGUGCCUUUUAAUUAGAGUAUUUAGACCCUUUGUGGGAGUAUCAAUAUUUUAUCAGGUAUCAUUGGGAAAAUAUGAUGUUUAAUUCAGCAACAGUUUUCUCUUCAAGGAGUUUCUAAGUUAAGAAAUAUAACUUUUAGGCCUAAUCCAUACCUUACAGUCAACGGAAUUGAAUUAAAUUUGUGUAGUUAUUAAUAAUUAUGGUGGUUCCUAAUACUAAUAAAACAUUCAACCAACGAUAAAAAUGCCUAAAGUGGCUAAUGAAGGGGUUAACAUUUUUUGUAUAGGUGGCUUAAAAAAUGUUCCUGUUGUAAUCAAAAGGUAUCAUAACAAAAAAAAUGCAAGAACUGAAUAACUUUGGACAUCAUCAACAACAACAACUUUUCUUUAUACCAACAAUUCCAAAUUUUUGCACAUCAAUUUCAUGGUGCACAUGAAGGGCAAAUCCAUUCUCCAUCAGGCUCUGUUCUAAGUCCCACACAUGACUUAUACGCUUCAUUUGCUGCCCGGUUAUCCACGAGGUCUGGAGUACCAGAUAAUUCACAAUGUCGGGAUAUUCCAUGCUAGGAUAAUCCACUAAAUCCUCGCUACACUCAGAUUUUUUUAACGUGUAUGGAUCAAAUCCAAAGAUAAGAACUUUUACUCGAUACCUGGCCUUAGCAGAACUGGUAAGACUGCCAUAAUUCUCCGAAAAAGGAACACUUUCGCUCGAAGGCGCGUCUGCCGAAGCCAUAUUUACUUUAACAGAUGUCCACCAGCAUGGCGGUCGCGACUUACGUUACAAAAUUUUGACACGUGGCUGAAAACGAAGAAUGGGGCUUACAGGCCGCAAACCAGGCUGAUAUAACUGGCUGGCGUAAAAGCGAAAUUUUUUAAAGGAAACAGCGCCGCAGCCUGUUCAGUUUUAAAAUAACUUGAAUCGUUCAAUGCCGAAGUUCAAAGCGGAAAUUUGUUGUUUCUCCAGUGUCAGCCUUUUCGUCUUCAUCCCUGAAAAAAACUUGAUGACUCGAUGAACAUGAUACGGCUUUUUGAAAUUGAAUUUCAAUUUAUAAUA
rnacentral:misc_RNA from 1 species